UUCAAAUCAUUUACAUAUUUAAGACAAGAGGAGACCAAUGUAUGGAUUUAUAAAAAUAGUUUGUAGUACCUCAAACAUGAACAUUUACAACCAAUCUUCUUUUAUAUUGGAAAACACCCUUGAUAACAAGAAUAAAAGCACGACAUGGGAUGAAUGACAAGUAUGUAUCAAUCAAUGAUAUUCUUUGCAUGUCUCCUCAGUCUAAAUAUGUUGUCUAAUACCUUCAAAUAUCUUCGGUCAUACAUGAUAUGUAGAAAGAGAGAUCUGGCAUAUUCCUGAAACACCACAAAAUGGCACUAUAAAAAACCCCACUAACUGUUUAUACACAACCACAAGAGGGUUGAACAUUAUCCAUAGUUAUAUUCAAAUGUAUAUCUUUGCAUAUCUCCUAACCAAACUCACCCAUCAAAAAUGUCAAUUUCUAACAUAUUAAUAGGGAACUUUAAAAGUAAACAUUUAAAUCACAUUGAUCUGAGAGAUUAAAGUAAUGACAUAGUGUAAGGCACAGUGGUUGACCAUGAUGACAGGUCCUGCUGCAGUCUAGUGUGUUUGUACAUCUGUCUUUCUUAGGCAAGGACAGCCUAACCUAACUCAAACGUCUUGGUGAUCUCCAGGAUGGGCAGAGGAGAGGAGGAGAGAGGAGGAACAGAAGACGGGUAGAGGAGAGGAGGAGAGAGGAGGAACAGAAGACGGGUAGAGGAGAGGAGGAGGAGAGGAGGAAAAGAAGACGGGUAGAGGAGAGGAGGAGAGGAGGAACAGGAGACGGGUAGAGGAGAGGAGGAGAGAGGAGGAACAGAAGACAGGUAGAGGAGAGGAGGAGAGGAGGAACAGAAGAGGGGUAGAGGAGAGGAGGAGAGAGGAGGAACAGAAGACGGGUAGAGGAGAGGAGGAGAGAGGAGGAACAGAAGACGGGUAGAGGAGAGGAGGAACAGAAGACGGGUAGAGGAGAGGAGGAGAGAGGAGGAACAGAAGACGGGUAGAGGAGAGGAGGAGAGAGGAGGAACAGAAGACGGGUAGAGGAGAGGAGGAGAGAGGAGGAACAGAAGACGGGUAGAGGAGAGGAGGAGAGAGGAGGAACAGAAGACGGGUAGAGGAGAGGAGGAGAGAGGAGGAACAGAAGACAGGUAGAGGAGAGGAGGAGAGAGGAGGAACAGAAGACGGGUAGAGGAGAGGAGGAGAGAGGAGGAACAGAAGACGGGUAGAGGAGAGGAGGAACAGAAGACGGGUAGAGGAGAGGAGGAGAGAGGAGGAACAGAAGACGGGUAGAGGAGAGGAGGAACAGAAGACGGGUAGAGGAGAGGAGGAGGAGAGGAGGAACAGAAGACGGGUAGAGGAGAGGAGGAGAGAGGAGGAACAGAAGACGGGUAGAGGAGAGGAGGAGAGAGGAGGAACAGAAGACGGGUAGAGGAGAGGAGGAGAGAGGAGGAACAGAAGACAGGUAGAGGAGAGGAGGAGAGAGGAGGAACAGAAGACGGGUAGAGGAGAGGAGGAGAGAGGAGGAACAGAAGACGGGUAGAGGAGAGGAGGAGGAGAGGAGGAACAGAAGACGGGUAGAGGAGAGGAGGAACAGAAGACGGGUAGAGGAGAGGAGGAGGAGAGGAGGAACAGAAGACGGGUAGAGGAGAGGAGGAACAGAAGACGGGUAGAGGAGAGGAGGAGGAGAGGAGGAACAGAAGACGGGUAGAGGAGAGGAGGAACAGAAGACGGGUAGAGGAGAGGAGGAACAGAAGACAGGUAGAGGAGAGGAGGAGAGAGGAGGAACAGAAGACGGGUAGAGGAGAGGAGGAGAGAGGAGGAACAGAAGACGGGUAGAGGAGAGGAGGAGAGAGGAGGAACAGAAGACGGGUAGAGGAGAGGAGGAGAGAGGAGGAACAGAAGACGGGUAGAGGAGAGGAGGAACAGAAGACGGGUAGAGGAGAGGAGGAACAGAAGACGGGUAGAGGAGAGGAGGAGGAGAGGAGGAACAGAAGACGGGUAGAGGAGAGGAGGAACAGAAGACGGGUAGAGGAGAGGAGGAGGAGAGGAGGAACAGAAGACGGGUAGAGGAGAGGAGGAGAGAGGAGGAACAGAAGACGGGUAGAGGAGAGGAGGAGAGAGGAGGAACAGAAGACGGGUAGAGGAGAGGAGGAACAGAAGACGGGUAGAGGAGAGGAGGAACAGAAGACGGGUAGAGGAG